UAAAAUAUUGCAUUAUUUUCAUCUCACUCGCUCGGAAAGGAUUCCUUUGCCCUUUGAAAUCUGCGUGGAAAAUGGUAAUUUUGCUCGCUAGCGUGCAAAAUACGAGUUGAAAUUCGAACGUGACGAACUGUGGUCUAUGGUUGGCAUACUUACAAAAAAAGUAC